rnacentral:rRNA from 1 species
UACGUAGGGCGCAAGCGUUGUCCGGAAUUAUUGGGCGUAAAGAGCUCGUAGGCGGCUUGUCACGUCGGAUGUGAAAGCCCGGGGCUUAACUCCGGGUCUGCAUUCGAUACGGGCUGGCUAGAGUGUGGUAGGGGAGAUCGGAAUUCCUGGUGUAGCGGUGAAAUGCGCAGAUAUUAGGAGGAACACCGGUGGCGAAGGCGGGUCUCUGGGCCGAUACUGACGCUGAGGAGCGAAAGCGUGGGGAGCGAACAGG